rnacentral:rRNA from 1 species
CCGCUUGCGGGUGGAACUGGCAUGCCGUGGCAUGUCCUGUCGGUGGCGGAUAGGCUUCGCGGCGUGUCCCUAUGCGGUAUACCAGCGUGUAGGUUGCUGCGCCGCGUUGUCCUUGUACGCCGGCUCAAUCCCACCGCGGUGCUCUUUACCGAGUGUCGAGGUGGGCCGACACUGUUUACUUUGAACAAAUUAGAGUGCUUAAAGCAGGCUCUUAAAUCAGCCUGAAUAGUGGUGCAUGGAAUAAUGGAAUAGGACCUUGGUUCUAUUUUGUUGGUUUUCGGAAUCCAAGGUAAUGAUCAAUAAGGACAGGCGGGGGCAUUCGUAUUGCGACGUUAGAGGUGAAAUUCUUGGAUCGUCGCAAGACGCACUAGAGCGAAAGCAUUUGCCAAGUAUGUCUUAAUUGAUCAAGAACGAAAGUUAGAGGUACGAAGGCGAUCAGAUACCGCCCUAGUUCUAACCAUAAACGAUGCCAGCCAGCGAUCCGCCGACG